AUUUAACGCAGCCGCUUCUCUCCUCCCUCUCGAGCGGCGCGCUUGAUCGCCGGCCCCUCCUCCUCCCAAUGGCCGGUCGAUCCCUUAGCCGACGCCCGCUGGACCUCCUCCCCCAGCGGGCGUUGCGC
rnacentral:sRNA from 1 species